rnacentral:rRNA from 1 species
UACGUAGGGGGCGAGCGUUGUCCGGAUUUAUUGGGCGUAAAGAGCUCGUAGGCGGCUCGGUAAGUCAGGUGUGAAACCUCCAGGCUCAACCUGGAGACGCCACCUGAUACUGCCGUGGCUAGAGUCCGGUAGAGGAGCGUAGAAUUCCUGGUGUAGCGGUGAAAUGCGCAGAUAUCAGGAGGAAUACCAGCGGCGAAGGCGGCGCUCUGGGCCGGUACUGACGCUGAGGAGCGAAAGCGUGGGGAGCAAACAGG